rnacentral:rRNA from 1 species
AUACGUAGGUGGCGAGCGUUGUCCGGAUUUACUGGGUGUAAAGGGCGAGUAGGCGGGCUUGCAAGUCAGAUGUGAAAUACCGAGGCUCAACUUCGGGGCUGCAUUUGAAACUGCGAGUCUUGAGUGAUGGAGAGGCAGGCGGAAUUCCCAGUGUAGCGGUAAAAUGCAUAGAUAUUGGGAAGAACACCAGUGGCGAAGGCGGCCUGCUGGACAUUAACUGACGCUGAGGAGCGAAAGUGUGGGGAGCAAACAGGAUUAGAUACCCUGGUAGUCCACACCGUAAACGAUGGAUACUAGGUGUGCGGAGACUGACCCCCUGCGUGCCGCAGUUAACACAAUAAGUAUCCCACCUGGGGAGUACGAUCGCAAGGUUGAAACUCAAAUGAAUUGGCGGGG